rnacentral:lncRNA from 1 species
UGUGCUCUUCCACGUGGAUGAUAUGCUUGUAUGAUUCAAAUAUAUGAGCACUGGGUGCCGUGUGUGUUUGUGUGUGUGUGUGUGUGUGUAUGUGUGUGUGUGUGUGUGUGUGUGUGUGUGUGUGUGAUGUGUGGUGUGUGUGUGUGGUGUGUGUGUGUGUGUGAGACUGUGUGUGUGUGUUUGUGUGGGACUGUGGGUGUAUAUGUGUGUGUGUCUGUGUGUGUGUUGCUGGCAAUUGAACACUGGGUUGUGUACUUGUUAAGCCACUUAUAAUACAGUUACAUCCCUGAUCCUGAAAUUCCUCACAAACAUUUGUUAAAUGGAUACAUGACUCACACCCAGCCAAGGCCCGGUGCCCAGGUCACUGAGGCGCUUCAAUUACUUCUGCAUUCAUUCGUCCCUACGCAGCUGCAACGUGACAGCUAGCACUGUCCCAGGCAUGAGCUGAUUCUCAGCAAGAAUACAAGUAGUCACUCUGCGCUGGGCAGGACCAUCUGAGAUCCUAGCAAGAGCAGGAGGCUGAAGUCUGGGGAUGGGCAUUUUCACACUCGACACUGGCAGCCUGUACCCCCAAGCGUGUGGGUGUACUUGGGUAUGAAUGAGGCUGGAGGGGCCCUUUGGGGACAUAAGACCUCUGCACCUUGAGUCCCCUCUUGCCUGAUCCAUAGGAGCUUGAUGAGGGCACGGAUUCAAAGGAAUGGGAGCAGCUCUCAGCAAGUCUGCAUAGUCUUCCCUCCCUGAUUGGCAGUUUCUGCUCCACCAAGGCUGUGUCCGUCCUCUCUCCGAGAGCCCUUGACUUGGCUGAGUCUCGGAGAGCCUCCUCCGGGAACUCUCUCCGCCUUGUUCUUUGCUCUUUAGCUCUCCCAGGCCUUUGUUCCUCAUCUACGACCUGUUCUCAGUCACUAACACAGUAGCUCAUGACCUGCAUUCCUGCCCUCUGCCUCCAGAUCCCGAGAGUCCUCAGAGCUCUGCCCUGAGCUGCCUUUCUGACUCCAAGAAGGCAACAGAUUCCUCUCAGACACACAGCCAGACACUUGGAAUUUAAGGGCUUGUCUUUCUCUAACUGGAUUACAAAUCCCAAGAGAGCAAAGGCGGUGGUGGGAGCUGGGAAUUUCCCUGGGUCCAUCUUGCCUGAAUAUUCUGUGUACUGUAGCAAGGGCUCCAAGAAGUUAGAUGGAUCUGAACCCAGGACUAGGGUGGUCAUAGGAGGCCUGCAACCUUGUCUCGCGGGAUAGGAGGGAACUCAGGUCUUGAAGGGCGCUGUGGUUGGGCAUCCCAGCUCCUUCUCUGGGUUUCAGUUUUCCCUAUUAUCAAGUGAAAGGGGCUUGGAGUGGUCUUUGCUAACCAGUAUGGGCUCUUCUGAUUCUUCCAUUGGACAUGAAUUAUCACAAUUUAAGUCUGACUAGGAUUGGGCUGGCAGACAUGUGGUCAUCUGUCUGGGAACAAGAGAAAGAUACUGUCCCUCUGGGAGCCCAAACCAGACAGAAGUUUUGAGACUCACUGUCCCGUCCUAUCUCCAAAAAUCAUGUAUAAAAGCAAGCCAUAUUUUCUCUCUUUUUCGGUCCCAGCUAUGAUCACUUUCAUUUGCUGCUGCUGUCUUCCCUGGAGUGGAGUGGAAUUUUAGAGAAGAAAAUAGCCAACUUGGGGGUUGUGAUGAUGGUUUAGUGGGUAGGAGUGUUUUCUGUGUAAGUGCAAGGACGUGAGUUUAAUCUCCUGUGUCCAUG